UACGGAGGGAGCUAGCGUUGUUCGGAAUUACUGGGCGUAAAGGGCGCGUAGGUGGCCUGUUAAGUCGAACGUGAAAUCCCCGGGCUCAACCCGGGAACUGCGUCCGAGACUGGCAGGCUCGAAUCCGGGAGAGGGAUGUGGAAUUCCAGGUGUAGCGGUGAAAUGCGUAGAUAUCUGGAGGAACACCGGUGGCGAAGGCGGUUCUCUGGGCCUUACCUGACGCUGAGGAGCGAAAGCGUGGGGAGCGAACAGG
rnacentral:rRNA from 1 species